GACGAACGCUGGCGGCGUGCUUAACACAUGCAAGUCGAACGGAAAGGCCCUGCUUUUGUGGGGUGCUCGAGUGGCGAACGGGUGAGCAACACGUGAGUAACCUGCCCUUGACUUUGGGAUAACUUCAGGAAACUGGGGCUAAUACCGGGUAGGAGCUCCUGCUGCAUGGUGGGGGUUGGAAAGUUUCGGCGGUUGGGGAUGGACUCGCGGCUUAUCAGCUUGUUGGUGGGGUAGUGGCUUACCAAGGCUUUGACGGGUAGCCGGCCUGAGAGGGUGACCGGCCACAUUGGGACUGAGAUACGGCCCAGACUCCUACGGGAGGCAGCAGUGGGGAAUAUUGCACAGUGGGCGGAAGCCUGAUGCAGCAACGCCGCGUGCGGGAUGACGGCCUUCGGGUUGUAAACCGCUUUCGCCUGUGACGAAGCGUGAGUGACGGUAAUGGGUAAAGAAGCACCGGCUAACUACGUGCCAGCAGCCGCCGUAA
rnacentral:rRNA from 1 species